GAGGGGAAAAAGGUACUCACAGCAAAGAGCUCAGAACCAUCCCAUUCUCCAGGAAAGUCGCAGCCUAUUUUUGGAGCCACUAAAGAAAACCCAGCCCUGCUCAUUGAUUUCUUUCUUUAAAGAGAAGUCGGUUUCUGAUCCUUGAAAUGGUGACUAGCAGGCCUCGUGAUGGAGCCUAGGACUGACCCGCCUGAUGCUUUGGUGUGGCAACUGCAGGAACUUGGUACCUGCUCCCCAGGACCAGCCGCCGCCGCUGCUGCUGCUUUGUUAGCUGUUCGCCAAAGAGUAAAUCAGCAUCCUUUCUCAACCCCUUUAUAAGACCCUGCUGAGUUCCUUUACUCUUCAGUGGAAGAGAGGUGCUCCACUUGCCUCUCUGUGUUCCACUGUAGCUUGUUUGGAGGGUCAAAUCUUCUGCACGUGGCAGUAUGUUUGGGGAGGCGCCUUCUGGUGUAUAAAUUACAAGUGCUGGUGAAAGACUGGAGGAAAUUCUCACCAAAUUAACUACCUUUUAAAAAUCAAUAGAUGUUGCCUCAAUGUAAUGCUUGCUGCUGCUCAUUAAAACGCAGCGUGACCAGACGCACGCCGCUUCUGGUCCCGAGUGGGGUGGGGAGACUGAGCUGGGUGCCCCGCCUCUGAUGUGGGCGUCUAUCAAGACAGGAGGAGAUUAGCCUCCAAUUAAAUAUUCCAGAAGGCUUCGGCCCCUCUGCUAGCAGCACGGAAAGAGACCGCAAGAGACACCCACCAAUGAAUGUGACUAUAGCACUGUGCACCCAGGAGGUGGUGGCUGCUCAGGUCCUCAGCCCAGGCAAGGUCCUGUGCUAAGCAAGCCGACCCUGCUGGAGGAAGAGGGUGUGGAAGAAGAAGAGGAUGCAAGCUCCAUCGAGGGAAACACAAUUCCUUCCCUACCAAUUACAGCUCGAAUUCUAAGGUACCCACCCCCUAAUUGUAACCUACCAAGAAAAAGUAAAUGUUUUGAUUCCCUGCCCGAAUUAUGCUGACAUUUUACCUGAAAGGAGCGAUAACUGCAGAGGUGACCCUGGCUCUCUGAAGUCGGAGGCUGUGACCAGAAUAGUACGCCCAGAUUAACAGUUCCUUUGUUUUGCUAGCUUCCCAGCAAACUGGCCUGAGUGAGUCAGAGGGCACCCCCCAGGCUUGAAGCUUAGAAGCCUUUGUUUUUCCCUCCCGAGGGGUGAGUGAAGGAGCUGUCAGAGCCUGCAGGCAUGGAACCCGGGCCCAAAGUCAGGACCCUGGACAGAGCCCCGCAGCCCCGUAGCCUAAUCCUGGUCUCUGUCCCUAAAAAGGCAGCCAAGAUGCUACAGGAUUCCAUGCUGUAGCAAAGAAACAUUCAUAGCGAAUAUUCUGAAGUUUGUGAGAGCGAGAGGCCCCUCCUGGAAUAAAAACCGGCCUAGUCGGGUCGUCGAAAAGAUCAAAACCGUCGUCAAAGAUCAGGUGUUGAUUGGUUUGUUCCUACGUGGCAUGGCACGUGCACACAAGCAUAUAAAAUCGGAAUUUGCGUCCCGGUGGGUGUGACAGGAGUUGGAUCAUUAAGCUAAAACGUUCAAUUCAGUCCCUUUGAUCCGUGCUGGGGAAAAUCUAUAGUCAUCUCUAAUCUACGAGGUCUUUAAGGAGGUUGUUACACUAGCUGUUUGAUGUCGUCAUCUUCCACAUCCGUGGCAAAUUCAGCUAAUCAAACACGCUAGUCCCCAAAGUUCUCUCAAGCAACAGUUCUUACAGAGUAUACCGGUAAAAUCCAUUCUUGGUUUUCUUGUAAAAAAAAAAAAAAAAAAAAAAGGAAAUAUUCAACUCUAAUGGCUGUGGGUAAUUUAGAGGGAGGGAGGUUCCCAAGUGUCUCGCUCCUCCACUUCCAUAGUUAGUGGCAGUCCAGCAUUCUCAGUAAACUGCAUAUAAUGGAGUAUUUAAACACAUGUUCAUUUUCAUAACUCAACCCCAGUGACUUGAAAAUGAAAUAGCCAGUUUCAUUUCAGAGCCUAUUUAAAUACUAAGAUUUCCACAGUUUGAUAAAAUGGAAUGUCGCCUAACUUGGUGGGGUAGCUACAGCAAGAGGAUUUCAUAAAACAAUGCUUGUUAUAGAAUCCAUUUCUAAUAUAUAAAAAAAAAUUCAGCCCAUAUGCACCACCAAUCAUUUUCUGUGUGUUGACACUUGACUAAGACAAGUGUGCACCCUCAGAAGAUAGACAUGUUAUUUCUACAUGGUUCAAUAAGAAGGAACAUCUUAUUUCUAAUGUAAAUGAGUUUGGUAUACAAUCAUACAUUCCAAAUACCACCCAUUUAUGUUUUUUUUUUUUUAAUAAAACAAGUAUAUUCACUCAGAUAAAGCUUACUCUUCCUGAGGUGACAGAUGACUGGGCCAGCCAUGUGACAAUCUUGACUAUUUGAUACAAACAUACAAUUAUUUAUCAGAGUCUCACUGUUCUAUCAUCUACAUAACCUUUCUUCCCAAAGAUGCUAUGAUGGAACAAAUAGCUUCUAAAGCAUUUCUGUUCGUUUAAUUAAUUAAUUAAUUAAUUAAUUUGAUUUAAUAAGACGACAGCUGAGCAGAGCCCAACCCUAGAGGACAAUUCAUCAGGUUUGUCAUACUGACGAAUGAAAAGGGAAUUUCAGUUGUUUGUUCACAUUGUAUUUAUUUCAUGCUGUGGUAGACAUUCCCACUUAAUACUCCCUGUCUAUGCCGAUGGCUCAUAAGUCUUACUAUACGUGGAAAUUACUUAAAGGCCUAAAACAACUAAUGUCUGACUGCGACCCCGUAUAUUUCAGUUUAAUUGAAUGGGGUGUGACCCAGGUUCCCAGGUGAUCUCAUAUGCAUGGAGGUCUUGGAUCCUAUAUAGUGUGUGGUAGUUACUCUGCCUUUCUCUGAUGCUUUCUGUAGUGGGUUAAAUAAUUUGUCUCUAGUCAUCCCACUGGAAUUUACUGAUGCCCUGGACUCGGUUUCCCUAAUUUGGAGGUCCUGGCCAAACAUAUCCUCCACCAAUAACUUGUGUUGCCAGUUCCAGAUCACAAUCAAUACACCCAGAAUGUAAACAUCAUUAUCUCAAGCAUCCGUUUAACAAGGUCUGUGCAUCACGAAGCUCUUGAAAUUAUAGAGUAAAUUUUUUUUUCUUUGAGGCUCUCAAGGAAAGCUUUUGAAACAAUUCCUUCUUCUCAGAUGUACAAGCAAGAUUUCUUUUAAUUGAUCCCCUCCAAAGAAACAGCCAGAGUGGUAACAGAUGUGAAGCCCAUGUCUCUCUAUCCACGUUUUCACUUAAACAAUUAUCGAUAGGCAAGGCCCAUCUCAUUAGAUAUGCUCUGCGGGUAAGCCUGGCCCUCUGGGACCCGUGCCUGCAGAAAGGCCCAAAGGCCCACGGCCACCCGUGCUUCCAAGGCUGACGUUCUCAUAUGCCUUUGGCUCUGUUCUUUCAAAACUUGUUUGUUACCUCAAAUUUAGGACUCUGUGUGUGUGUGUGUGUGUGUGUGUGUGUGUGUGUGUGUGUGCACGCGCACGCACGCACGCACGCACACACACACACUCACACACUCACAGAGAGAGAGCGAGAGAGAGCAAAUUGACAAAAUCUCUGCUUGUAUGUUGGUGAUUGUUUGAGAGCAACUCCGUUCCUGUCACAUACCACGUGCCUGUCACCCCUCUUUCUUCGCAUAUGUCAUGGAGUAAAGAGAACGGGCAGUUUCUGGAAUCAUUCCUUUCUUUUAACAUCUGAUGGUGAUUUCAUGGUCCCAAAGAAAGUUUGUCAGAAGAACACAGCAAAGUAUGUGCUUUUCAUUUGUCUUUUCCUCUUGCCUUCUUAAACAGAUUUGGAGGUAGGGGUGUUAAACAUACAAGCGUGUGAAGCACGCCACCUAGUGGCAGUGGCUCUUACAGCAGGCGCCUUAACGAGUGGAUCAGGAGCUGCUACCGUGAUUCCAAUAUUGAUGGAGUCACAAAAAUCGUUCAUUAAGGCAAUUUAAUCUUUGCUAUUAAAUGUCCUUUCAAUUCAUUUGGGGUAAUUAAGAUGCAGUUAAAGUGAUUAAAUUCUAAUUACUUAUGCCAGAGAAAGACGUAUUUGUCACGCUAAUGCUGUUAGAGGAAGGACUUAGAAAGAAAGUUAACGUUUACUUCAAAUGAUGCAGCUGGAAAAAUCAGUUCCUCUUUUCAUCAUUAAUCUGGUGAGCUGGGCGAUUAUGUAAUGGCACUACAAGAUCAUUAAAUAGGAGAAGUGCUGAUUAAAAUGACUGCCAGGAGGAAAACUUGAACAAGAAGUAACUCAGUACAGUAUAGUCAGCCUCCUUGGGCAAAAUCACUCGGUGUUCAAGCCUCUAAGCCCUCACCCCCAAAGUAAUAAAAACCUGGUAAGCUUUAUCCUCGAAUUGAAAGAGGGGUGGCACACAGAAGGCUUUUAUUAUCAAACCAAAGUCAUUGUUAAAUGUAAACAGUAAAAAAAAAAAUACACAGGGUCUUAUGUAUUCCAGGCUAGUCUUGAACUCACUAUGUAACCAAGGAUCACCUUGAACUUCUGAUCCUCCUGCCUCCACCUCCUGAGUUCUGGGGUGUGCCACCAUGCCCAGUGCUGGGGAUCAAAGCCAAAGCAUUCAAGCAUUUGAGGCAAGCACACAACCAACUCAGCUCCAGCUCCAACCCUGGAGAAACAUCUUAAAGAAUAGUUUAAAUUGGAGUAGAGAAAGCAAGGCAGCUAAGCAGGAGUGGGGAAGCAGAGAAUUCCCAAGGACAACGUAAGCCAGCAUUUGCCCUGUAGGGUGUGGGAGCCACUUCUCACAUGGACUCGAUGCCUGUCACUAAGCAGUCCCUCUCCCCCAGUUUGAUUCUUUUCCCUGCAGUGAGUGGGUCAGAGUCUUUGGCACUAAAUAUCUCUGCUACAAAUUAGUUUUCCGUAUCCCAGUGUAAAGUAGUCUUGCAUUAUAAAGAAGUUCACUGAUGCUAUGCUACCAUAAUCUCACGGCCUCCAGCCCCUUACGAUGGCUUAAUUAUGAGUGUUCAUAAAGGAGAGUAAAUUGAAACUUAAUGGAUUUGAUGUUUGCUUUACACACACACACACACACACACACACACACACACACACACACACAAGCUUUUUAAGGAGAUGCCUCACAUUUUCCCAGGGAAGUGAUCCAAUGAGAUUCACCAAUGUCAUACAUAAUUGAGGGUUAUUUUCCUAAAGAGAUCCAUGUCUUUUAGUAUAAAUAAAUGUGCAUAUUGAAACCAUAAUUGAGGAGGUUGUCUCUGUCUCCUGUUCAUCCCAUUGAAUAUUAUUCCUGUGCACACCAUAAGCAAAGAAGUGGACAUUAUCAAAUUCAUCAGUCAGUUAAGUUAAACAAUUACCUUUAAAAAAAUAAAUCGAUUAUUUGAAUAUUUAAGGUAAUUAUGAAUCACGUCAGGCUGUGUUUUUAAUGUAAUAUUUGUAUUAAUUCUUCCAUAAAUUCAUACUUGACAUCAUGUUGUCCUAAAUUACUAGGAGUGGGCACCUCUGGAUUAGGAAUCAAGUGCCCCAGAGAAAGGUUCAUGCAGCAAGUAUCUCUUAGACCUUGUCAAGUCAUUUAACCUUUCUGAGCCUCUAUCUCCUUAAAUGUAAAGUGAAGGAUUUGACUUUCAGGCUCCAUCCAGGUCUCAUUCUGUCAUUGACUGCCUCCUGUCAUGACUGUGUGCCAUGUGGGCCUUGGCAAAGUCCAGUAGGCACCUAUUUCCAUUCAGUAUCCUGUCCAUCUAUAUUAAGAUUAGAUAAGAUGUGGGGUGCAGGGCUCAGCUAAAUGGCCAUGUCUCCGGCUUGCCUCUCCAGUCAGGUGGUCAGGAGCUAACAGUCCAUGUGACACAAGCUAACAGGGAUAACAUGGAUUGCCAAGGUCUCAUAUACGUUACCUAUGUACUACUGUGUAAUGUAAAUCAGCAUCUUUGCUAUAACAAAUUUGCCAUCAUCAUAUAGCUAUGGGCCCACACAUGUCUAGAAAUCCCACUAUUUUGUAUAAUCCUAAACUCACAGCUUUCUUGGAAAUGUGGAAAAACUGCUCCUGGAACCUUUAAUUCGAAGAACGGAGAAACUAGAUAGCCCAAAUGUAAGCACACAUACAUGAAACAGAAUUUUUUAUAUAAGGCAAAACCUAGAAGCAGACAAGACUAAAUAACUAUGCUUAGAGCCAUAUGGAUACAUAAUAUAAACUCUUUUUUAAAAACACUAAUGGGGCUGGGUGGUGGUGGCACACACCUUUAAUCCCAGUACUUGAGAGGCAGAGGCAGCAAAUCUCUUGAGUUUGAGGCCAGCCUGGUCUACAGAGCUAAAUCCUUUGGUCUCUGACUUGCUCUGUAGCCAAAGCUGGCCUUGAACUUCUGAUCUUCCUGUCUUCACCUCCCCAAUGCUAGGACUACAGGCAUGAGCUACCCAUACCUUUUGUUCUCUGCAGAUUUCUUGGAUCUGAACUACUAUAAACCUGACUGCUUCUCUCUUCUCUCAGCUCAGCAACACCUCCCCACCAGCAACAAGAGCAUCCACCAGGCUCUGGUUUCUGGGAUGAGCAACUGUGAAUAUUAUGGUAGUCAGUCCUUUCCACCCCAGCCAAUUGCUGCCUCUGAGGACACCGGACCCUUAAAGAACCAAUGUAAGGGGCCAAAUACACCCAUCCCUGUUGUUAGAGGAACAAAAAAGUAACACCAAGAACAGGGCGCCAAUCUGUCAGCAACGAUUCUGAGCGAGGAGACUAAGUACAGCCCCUGUACAUGGCAGGCAAGUGUCGGCUCGUCUUGGUCAUGAGUCAGCCUGUGUGUGUGUGGGGGGGGGGGGCAGCACUCUAAACACAUGUUGUUCUAUAAGAAAGAGAAAGAAAAAUCUGUUCUAUCAGAAAAACCCUACUUUCCUUUCAUCUAAUUCUCUUAGUUUGCUUUCUAUUGCUGUGAUGAAACACUGACCAAAGCCAACUUGGGAGCCAGGCACGAUGGCACAGGCCUUUAAUCCCAGCACCCUCUGGGAGUCCAGGCCAGCCCAGAUUAUAUUAAAAAUAAAGACAGAAACAAAACAAAAUAAAACAAAUUAAAAAAAAAAAAACUUUGGGGAGAAAAUGGUUUAUCUUACGGCUUACAGUCCAUCAUGAAAGAAGUCCAAAGGGAGGAACUAGAGGCAGAAACAGAAAUAAAAGCCAUGGAGGGGGGUUGCUUAUUGCUUAACAUUUUCAGCUUGCUCCACCUGCUUUAUUGCAGAACACAGGACCACAUGGGCUGGGCCCUCCCACAUCAGUCAUUAAUCAAGGUAAUUUUAACAGGCUCAUCUGAUGGAUAAAUUUUUUUCUACUGAUAUUCUUUUUCCUACAUGAUCCUAGCUUGUGCCUCGUUCACAAAACUACUCGGCACACCAGUUAUUUGCAUGGUUGUCCCAUGAGCCCUAACCUGAAAACAGGGUCGUUUCCAAUCAAUAAGUAUUUAUUUUAAUACAUGUCAUAUAACCAUAAUUUUUAAAAAGUUAAAUAAUCAGUAGGCAUACAAAGUUUUCUUCCCAAGCCACUCUCCUGUUAUUAAGUUUGUCAAGGUUCCUUUGUGUGUUUCAAGUACUCUCUACUAAAUUUAAUAAUAUAGAAUUUUAGAUUUCAAUAUUACCAUCCCAUCAGGAAUAGGUUGGAAGAAAAUUCACACAUGAAAGGGUCGGUUAUCUGUAUAGGGUUUGGGAGGAGGGCGGGGCUGAAGCCUGGGAGGAAGGAACUUCUAAAACCUGAUUCUUCUGUACUCUCCAGAAAUAACCUAUGGCUUUAAAAGCAUGUGAAUGUGUGUGUGUGUGUGUGUGUGUGUGUGUGUGUGUGUGUGUGUGUGUGUGUUUUGUGUAGGGUGGAUGGUCUCCUUUGUAAAUAACUAAAGGUUUUUUUAUUUCCCAAACUGUACAUUUCUAGGGAAAAUGGAGAAUGCUUCUUGCUUUAAUUUUUUGGCUGACAGUUGCUGCUCUAGAAAUACUUGUUUUCACAUUGGGCAAUGUGCCAGUGUGGUAGGGCGAGUGACAGGUAGAGAAACAGUACAGGCCAGCCAUGUCCUAGGGAGGUGGAAAGCGGCCCCAACUUCAAUGGAGGUUCCUUAUUUCAAGUCACCUUUGAAAAGUGACUCGGGGGCUGGAGAGAUGGCUCACAGUGUAAGAGAGCCUGCUGCUCUUGCAGAGGAGUUUGACUUCCCGCACCCAGGUCAACUGACUCAUACAGUCACGUGUAACUCUAGCUGCAGGGAAUCUAAUGCC